GAGGGUAUAGCGCAGUGGUAGAGCAUGUGCAGGAGGUCCUGGGUUCAAUUCCCAGUACUUCCA
rnacentral:tRNA from 1 species